rnacentral:rRNA from 1 species
CACGGGGGGAGCAAGCGUUGUUCGGAUUCAUUGGGCGUAAAGGGCUCGUAGGCGGCCAACUAAGUCAGACGUGAAAUCCCCAGGCUCAACCUGGGAACUGCGUCUGAUACUGGAUGGCUUGAAUCCGGGAGAGGGAUGCAGAAUUCCAGGUGUAGCGGUGAAAUGCGUAGAUAUCUGGAGGAAUACCGGUGGCGAAGGCGGCAUCCUGGACCGGCAUUGACGCUGAGGAGCGAAAGCCAGGGGAGCAAACGGG